rfam:Rhodobacter sp. LPB0142, complete genome.
UGGGACCUUCGGGGCCCUUGAACAGAUAGCGGGGCAACCCGCUGCAAGCUAACGGAAGACAGAAA